AUUCUACUCCCUCCGUUGCACAAUACAUGCCUUCUAUUUGUAAAAAUAUAUAUGUAUCUAGACAUGUUUUAGUAUAUAGGCACAUCCAUUUUUGGACAAAUGGAAGUCAAGUAUUUUGGAACGGAGGGAGUACACA
rfam:Triticum aestivum genome assembly, contig: Triticum_aestivum_CS42_TGACv1_scaffold_582585_7BL